UAUUAUAAAAAAUGUAAUUAUAAAAAAUAGAGUAGUAAUAGUUAUAUUCUUAAAACUUAAUAAAUUUGGCGGUAUUUUAAUCUAAUCAGAGGAACUUGUUUUAUAAUUGAUAAUCCCCGUUAAAUCUUACUUAAUUUAAUUAAUUUGUAUACCAUCGUCAUAAGAAUCUCUUAAAAAAGAAAAAAUUUUCUCAAUAAAUAAUUUUUUAAUAUGUCAGAUCAAGGUGCAGUUUAUAGUUAAGAAAAAAUGAGUUACAAUAAAAUUAUUUAUACGAAUAUUUAGUUUAAAUACUAAAUUGAAGGAGGAUUUGAUAGUAAAAUAGGUAAUUUAGCCUAUUUGAUUUUAGUUCUAAAAUAUGCACAUAUCGCCCGUCGCUCUCGUUAUUUAAAAUGAGAUAA
rnacentral:rRNA from 1 species